UAAGGGCAGGGCCAAGGGCCCCUAUAGUGGAAGGACCUGACAUUCAGAGGUCAAGAGGGCAUGAAGGAUGGUCAUCAGUUUCCAGUACUCUGUCCAAUGUGGGCCAAGUACAAAACGGCCUCUAGGACUUUUAUAUGUGGGCAAAAGAGUUCCUGAUCAGGCACGUGAAUCCCAAAAUCUCUGCAUUUCUCUCCCUCCAGGAAGGACAUCCACCCCACGCACAACACCCACACUCACCACUAAAUUUUGUGUCUGACAGAGUACACAGCACAGUACUAGAUUUUGUAAUUUUAAAUUUGAUACAUUUAUGGCCUGAUGUUUACAAUGGCACAGGAGUCACUCAGGUUUCUGUGCUACCUUAAGAAGACAGAACAAUUCUUUUUCCGUCUUGAGGCAUGGGGGAGUUUCCCCAAACCACUGGUAAACUUCAAGGAACAAGCCAAACCCAGGAUACACUAAAACAUAAGAAUGAGAACACAAGGCAAGAGAAGAAAUCUGCUGUAAACCGUCUUUCAAGAAACAACUUCUAUAAAUUUCCAUGAAGGAAGAUGACCAAUUUUUAAAAGGAAUUUAAAGAGUAACAAGUUCUGAUCUUUGAUGUAAGAAAGGUAAGUGAAUUUUAAAACUUAUUGCUAUUUGAACAUAAGGACCAUCAAAUAGCUCUCUAAUUCUUUCUGCAAUGCAAACAGGUGCUUUAUUACAAGGCAGGAAUUGGAAGGAACAUUUGUUGUAUGGGAUCUUUCAAUAUAUAAAGGUUAUUGCAACCAGUUUAACAAUACCUCUUUUCUAUUUCUGCCUCACUGAAACAUGGAAAUGGUUUUGCUAUCUAGAACCCUUCACUGUAAUGAUAUUCACAUACUGGGAUUUUACCCAUAAUAUGCUUCAUAAAUUCCCUUUAAUUCAUUACAAAAUUGAAAUUAUUCAAUAAACUUAUUGGGUUUAAUUCUCCCCGUGAUAUCCAGAAAUACUUGUGGUCAUUACCCUCCCCAUCCUCCAAUACAAAGAAAAUAGAAACAGAGCCUAUCCCUUGUGCUCUUACAUAAUGACUAGGAGAAAUUUACUCUCCACCACAAAACUGACAAUGCUUUCCAGGAAGCACAGUGAUAUAAACUAUAUGAUGGACAUUAUACAGAAUAUCCAUACACUCACAACCGCCAAUGAAACCCAUCAAGGUUCUCCCAAUCAAACCCCAUUUUGGUGACCAAGUGUGAAAGCCAUGCACAGAGCAGAGUGCUUGUGCACAGGAGGCAAUGAAUCCAUGAGUUACACUAGCUUCAAUUCUCAUGCCCUCACCUCCUCCCUAUAAAGGAGAGGGAAAUAUGAUCAGAUUCAAGAUUUCUUGGAAUUAAGGGAUAUAAAGAUUUGGGCAAAAUCCUUAAGAUUAACUGAUAAUUUAAAAAUGAAUAGGACUACACAGGGUCUCCAUUACAGCAUGGGUCAAAGGACUUUGCCUAUAUAAUCUCACAAUAUUCCUGAGAGGGUGAAGGUAAAUAUUACUUCUCCCAUUCAUGGAUGAGGAAGCUUGCUGCCCAGGAAAACAUGGUGAAUCGGUGGUAGAGCCAAAGAACAGACUUAGUUGUCUUCUAGCCUAUCCAUUGAACC